rnacentral:rRNA from 1 species
GACGAACGCUGGCGGCGUGCCUAAUACAUGCAAGUCGAACGCAGUGGGGACGGGUGAGUAACACGUGGGUAACCUCCCAUCAGAGGGGAUAACACUUGGAAACAGGUGCUAAACCGAUACUGAUGGAUGCACCCGCGGUGCAUUAGCUAGUUGGUGAUGUAACGGCUCACCAAGGCCACGAUGCAUAGCCGACCUGAGAGGGUGAUCGGCCACACUGGGACGUGGACAAGGCCCAAACUCCUACGGGAGGCAGCAGUAGGGAAUCUUCGGCAAUGGACGAAAGUCUGACCAAGCAACGCCGCGUGAGGGAAGAAGGUUUUCGGAUCGUAAAACUCUGUUAUUCGGGACGCGGUACCGGAAUAGAAAGCCACGGCUAACUACGUGCCAGCAGCCGCGGUAAUAC